UGUUGAAGGGCCAAAGGUUGUAUACAAGUAAAUGAGCAGAAGAGAGAGCUGCCAGACUCAGUUAUGAUCCUGUGUACUUCUGGUUUCUAUUUAGAACAACCUUUUUUAUACCUAAUAGUCUUUUACCCAUUUCUUCCAACCUGCCCAUUUUAAAUGACAAGUAUGGAGUGGAAAUUUCCCUAACCUGUUCCUUAGAAGAUGAGGCAAAGCAUCCAUUCAGGCUGCAGAAUUCCCAAGGAACAGAAAGGGAGCGACAGGCACAAAGAAGAGAGGAAUAAAGGCAGGCUACAAGACGGGAUUGGGGAAAGCAUGCAGGAAGCAGAGGGAAGACAACAUUGGACAGAAUUAAAUGGAAGGAAUGACAUAAGCAGCAACAGAGUGAGGCUGCACCAGAAAGGACUACGGAAUUUCCGUGUGUGGAAAUUUCAUUCUCAGAUAAUAACGUUGUGGAAUCUACUUGAGACAACUUGACCAAGAUAAUGAGACUAAGAAACAAAACGUGAAAGCUACAGAACUAAGAAGAAAAUGAGAUGCAGAAGCUACCAUACUGAGGCAGAAGCUAGCUCUUCCCUCCACGGUUUAUAAAUCAUUCUCUUAGAUGCUUGGGCCCCAAAACCUGGAGUCAGUCUGACAUUCUCUCCUUUCCACCUAUACAAUCAAAUUCUGUUGAUCUCUUCAUAGCACUGCUUACAUUGAUCGCAUCCCUUUUAUUUCCCUUAACUGUUUUUGUCUCAACACCUCUUUCCUGGACACUGAAAUAACUUUCCUACUGGACUAUCACUCCCAGUCCUUUCUUUCACAAUCUUUCUGGAAGAGUAAGCCAUAAUGAUCUCAAAUUUGACUUCAUACUCUUUAGCCUUUCAUUACCUACCAGGUACCCACUUGGGUACCCACCCACCACCCCACUUCUCUCACAUUAUUCCUUACAUGCACCCUCACUUCCCUCUCUGCCUGUUCUUUUCAUGCAUUCCAAUUCCCUUUCAAGUUUUGGAAAAUGUAGCUUCCUAUUCCCUUUACAACUAUUCUCUUCUCUCUUCUGUUUCACAAUACUAUUCCUAUUUCUUUUGAAAUCAAACUGACAGUACUGAGCAUUUAAAUUUUUUAAACACAGACCUAGGGCCCAUGGAAGAAUUUGCUUACACCCUUUGUUUUAUUACACUUAGCCCCCACCUUCUGGACCUUCCUUAUUAUUGCCCUCUAAAAAACUAUCAAUAUGCAUUACUUAUUGAAGUUGGCAGUUAACAUGCAUUUCAAUCUUUUCUAAAAUACAUUCCUUUUGCAAUUUGGGGCAAAUACUUUAAUGUCUCUAAGCCUCAGAUUUUCACCUGCCAGUUAAGUAAUGCCGUAGAGGAUCAUAACGAAAAUGAAAUUACUUAAAGAUAGCUACACACACAGUAAAUAAAUGGUUAUCAUUAUCAGUAAUAUUUUAUCUUAGGACCAAUUUCUAGGCAAAGUAAGCUAUUUCAGUUCCUCAAGGUCUUAUAAAAAGUACAAACUUACAAAACUGGCUACUAUUAAUAGCCUGUUAAGUCUCUCUCUGCUUUUUAAAUAUGUUGGCAUUCAGGCAGCAAGACUCCUCUUAUUUGUAGUUAGCACAGUGAAAAAUAAAAUUCAAAAGACUUCCCUCCAAACUUGGUUAUUAAGUCAUUCUUGGAAAAUCAUUAAAACCUCCAUUUUCUCCUCUGAAAUUGGAAUAAUUAUAUCUAUAUUUGCACACUUACCUCCUCUCCAGGAAACCCCCUUUUCAACUGGGCUUUUGAGCCUUUCCCUAGCCAACACUUGUGGCACCAUGGCACCAUUCUUCUAACUCUCUCAGCACCUCUGCUCUCAGGUCAUUCCUUAGCAAUCUCCUUGUAAUCUCUUCUGUACAUUUUCCUUUUCUUUCUUGGUAUUCCUUUGAAGACCUGUUUUCUUCCAUCUCCAUUAUUUCUAUUUCUAGCAGUUCUUAGUUACCAAGGUCUUUGUCCUAUUCCUGUUUUCCUCAUUUCUUUUCAACUAAUUUUUACCAUAUUAUGCUGAUUCUGACUCUUAAGUGUUUCUCAAAUCUGCCACCUUUUCUCCCUUUAUACUGCCUUAAUCUACACCUCCAUCCUUUCUCAUUUUGAUUGAUUUAAUGGCCUUGCAUUGGUUUCCUUGCAUCCUACCUCUAUGAAUUCUGAUCUCAUCCUCUGUUUAUCUUCCUAAAACACAAAUUUGAUAAAGUUAUUCCCACUAUUCAAACAUCCAGUGGCUCUCUGAUUGCUGAAAGAAUACAGUUCAGUCUUCUUAGCUUUAUAUUUAAGGCCUUUCCCAAUCUCCCUCACCAACCUCCUCUUCCACCAAUCCCUCCACUGUCCUCUUCUAUACAAAAACAGCCACUCUGACCUUUUCCCUCAUCAUCUUUCAAAUCUUAGUGGCCUUACACUUCCUGUAACUUCUGCCUGAAAUGUCCUUUCUUCCUUUCUUUGCUUAUCCAAAUUCUACUCUUCCUUUAUGAGCUAGCUCUAAUGCUCCGCUGUACUGUAACUGGCCAUUUGUGCUGUCAGCCUCCCCAAUGACAAUGCCAAGAUCCCUGAAACCUGGGAAGCCAUUUUAUUUUUCUUUGUGUUCUCUCAGACACAGCAGUGUAAGUUCCCAUAAAUCCUCGUGGAAAGAUGGAAUGAAUAGCUCUCAUUUCUCAGAGCUUUGUCCAAACUCACAUGAAAGUAUAUUUAUUAAAGAACAGUAUAAACAAAACUACUAAAUGUAGAGCAUAAACUAAAUGUUCCAGACUGAUCCUCUGAACUCAAAUAACACCACUUCCUAUGACUAAAGGAGAUGCCUCACUUCCGGUAAGUCAGACAUACUCUUAACUGCUCAGGACCAUUUAAGAUUUGGAGUGGAAUCAACAAAAGUCAACUUGUCUUUUGCAAGCUGAUUUUCUGUGUUCCAUUUAUGCAAAUGAUGUUAAAAUAAGCAUGGAAAAGUAAAUUCUGAAGAAAUACCUCAGAAUUAUAUAAAUAACUAAUACUUAAAUUUUUAAUUGACAGGAAUAUUACAUAUAAUAGGAAGCCAACAGAUUUUAGAACAUGAAAGGAUAUUUUUUAGACAAAUUUGGAGCCUAUAUGGAGGGAUCUCAUGAGAGGGAGUGGGUACUAAAAAACACUAGCAAUGUUCCUAGGACUGCUCAGGAGCCUGAAACUGCAAGGAAGUUGGGUAGAGACUGAGAGCCAGACUCCUGGACUACCUAUGCUUGAAUUGAGAAGCCAUUAUGCAAGAAGAUGCCCUUAGCAAAGCACUACAGCUAGGGUCGCCAGUUUAGCAAGUACAAAUACAAAUUGCAUGGGUUAUACUUAGAUUUUUAAAAAACUUUAUUAAAGAUUUAUUUUUUAUCUAGUUCUCUCCACCCCCCCACCCCACCCCCGUUGUCUGCUCUCUGUGUCCAUUUGCUGUGUGUUCUUCUGUGUCCACCUACGUUCUUGUCAGUGUCACUGGGAAUCUGUGCCACUUUUUGUUGCAUCAUCUUGCUGUGUCAGCUCUCCAUGUGUGCAGCGCCACUCCUCGUCAUGCUGUGCUAUUUUUGCGUGAGGCAGCUCUCCUUGCAGGGCACACUCCUUGCUCAUGGAACUCCUCUACAGGGGGGACACCCCUGCAUGGCAUGGCACUCUGCACGCAUCAGCACUGUGCAUGGGCCAGCUUACCACAUGGGUCAGGAGGCCCUGGGUUUGAACCCUGGACCUCCCAAAUGGUAAGCGGACACUCUAUCAGUUGAGCCAAAUCUGCUUCCAGAUUAAAAAAUUAUUUGUUUUUUUAUUUGAAAUUCAGAUUUAAUUGAAAGUCCUAUCUAGCAAAUCUACCUAUAACCCAAAUGACUUCAUUAUCUUUGAAUGUGAUACUGGCUCACAACACGGGCUCUGGGGCAUUUUGGAGAAAGAAUUCACAUGGGCUUUCUUACUGUAAAAAACCAGAAUAUUUUAGGACC
rnacentral:lncRNA from 1 species